GAUGUUGGCUUAGAAGCAGCCAUCAUUUAAAGAAAGCGUAAUAGCUCACUGGUCGAGUCGGCCUGCGCGGAAGAUGUAACGGGGCUAAACCAUGCACCGAAGCUGCGGCAGCGACACUUUAGUGUUGUUGGGUAGGGGAGCGUUCUGUAAGCCGUUGAAGGUGUGUCGUGAGGCAUGCUGGAGGUAUCAGAAGUGCGAAUGCUGACAUAAGUAACGAUAAAGCGGGUGAAAAGCCCGCUCGCCGGAAGACCAAGGGUUCCUGUCCAACGUUAAUCGGGGCAGGGUGAGUCGACCCCUAAGGCGAGGCCGAAAGGCGUAGUCGAUGGGAAACGGGUUAAUAUUCCCGUACUUGGUGUUACUGCGAAGGGGGGACGGAGAAGGCUAUGUUGGCCGGGCGACGGUAGUCCCGGUUUAAGCGUGUAGGCUGGUUUUCCAGGCAAAUCCGGAAAAUCAAGGCUGAGGCGUGAUGACGAGGCACCACGGUGCUGAAGCAACAAAUGCCCUGCUUCCAGGAAAAGCCUCUAAGCAUCAGGUAACAUCAAAUCGUACCCCAAACCGACACAGGUGGUCAGGUAGAGAAUACCAAGGCGCUUGAGAGAACUCGGGUGAAGGAACUAGGCAAAAUGGUGCCGUAACUUCGGGAGAAGGCACGCUGACACGUAGGUGAAGUGAUUUACUCAUGGAGCUGAAGUCAGUCGAAGAUACCAGCUGGCUGCAACUGUUUAUUAAAAACACAGCACUGUGCAAACACGAAAGUGGACGUAUACGGUGUGACGCCUGCCCGGUGCCGGAAGGUUAAUUGAUGGGGUCAGCGCAAGCGAAGCUCCUGAUCGAAGCCCCGGUAAACGGCGGCCGUAACUAUAACGGUCCUAAGGUAGCGAAAUUCCUUGUCGGGUAAGUUCCGACCUGCACGAAUGGCGUAAUGAUGGCCAGGCUGUCUCCACCCGAGACUCAGUGAAAUUGAACUCGCUGUGAAGAUGCAGUGUACCCGCGGCAAGACGGAAAGACCCCGUGAACCUUUACUAUAGCUUGACACUGAACAUUGAGCCUUGAUGUGUAGGAUAGGUGGGAGGCUUUGAAGCGUGGACGCCAGUCUGCGUGGAGCCGACCUUGAAAUACCACCCUUUAAUGUUUGAUGUUCUAACGUGGACCCGUAAUCCGGGUUGCGGACAGUGUCUGGUGGGUAGUUUGACUGGGGCGGUCUCCUCCUAAAGAGUAACGGAGGAGCACGAAGGUUGGCUAAUCCUGGUCGGACAUCAGGAGGUUAGUGCAAUGGCAUAAGCCAGCUUGACUGCGAGCGUGACGGCGCGAGCAGGUGCGAAAGCAGGUCAUAGUGAUCCGGUGGUUCUGAAUGGAAGGGCCAUCGCUCAACGGAUAAAAGGUACUCCGGGGAUAACAGGCUGAUACCGCCCAAGAGUUCAUAUCGACGGCGGUGUUUGGCACCUCGAUGUCGGCUCAUCACAUCCUGGGGCUGAAGUAGGUCCCAAGGGUAUGGCUGUUCGCCAUUUAAAGUGGUACGCGAGCUGGGUUUAGAACGUCGUGAGACAGUUCGGUCCCUAUCUGCCGUGGGCGCUGGAAGACUGAGGGGGGCUGCUCCUAGUACGAGAGGACCGGAGUGGACGCAUCACUGGUGUUCGGGUUGUCAUGCCAAUGGCACUGCCCGGUAGCUAAAUGCGGAAAAGAUAAGUGCUGAAAGCAUCUAAGCACGAAACUUGCCCCGAGAUGAGUCUUCCCUGAGACUUUGAGUCUCCUGAAGGAACGUUAAAGACGAUGACGUUGAUAGGCCGGGUGUGUAAGCGCAGCGAUGCGUUGAGCUAACCGGUACUAAUGAACCGUGAGGCUUAACCUUACAACGCCGAAGCUGUU
rnacentral:rRNA from 1 species